CCAAUAGCGUAUAUUAAAGUUGUUGCAGUUAAAAAGCUCGUAGUUGAAUUUCGGGAUCAAUACGUCGGUCGUGCCUAGGUACGUACUGGCGUCAUUGAUUUCUCCCUUCUGAAGAACCGUGAUGCCAUUAACUUGGUGUCAUGGGAAAUCAGGACUGUUACUUUGAAAAAAUUAGAGUGUUUAAAGCAGGCUCACGCUUGAAUACAUUAGCAUGGAAUAAUGAAAUAGGACGUUCGACCCUAUUUUGUUGGUUUCUAGGAUCAACGUAAUGAUUAAUAGGGAUAGUUGGGGGCAUUAGUAUUCAAUUGUCAGAGGUGAAAUUCUUGGAUUUAUUGAAGACUAACUACUGCGAAAGCAUUUGCCAAGGAUGUUUUCAUUAAUCAAGAACGAAAGUUAGGGGAUCGAAGACGAUCAGAUACCGUCGUAGUCUUAACCAUAAACUAUGCCGACUAGGGAUCGGAUGAUGUUAAUUUUUUAAUGACUCAUUCGGCGCCUUACG
rnacentral:rRNA from 1 species